rnacentral:rRNA from 1 species
UGCAGUCGAGCGACGGAUAAGGAGCUUGCUCCUUUGAAGUUAGCGGCGGACGGGUGAGUAACACGUGGGUAACCUACCUAUAAGACUGGGAUAACUUCGGGAAACCGGAGCUAAUACCGGAUAACAUUUAGAACCGCAUGGUUCUAAAGUGAAAGAUGGUUUUGCUAUCACUUAUAGAUGGACCCGCGCCGUAUUAGCUAGUUGGUAAGGUAACGGCUUACCAAGGCGACGAUACGUAGCCGACCUGAGAGGGUGAUCGGCCACACUGGAACUGAGACACGGUCCAGACUCCUACGGGAGGCAGCAGUAGGGAAUCUUCCGCAAUGGGCGAAAGCCUGACGGAGCAACGCCGCGUGAGUGAUGAAGGGUUUCGGCUCGUAAAACUCUGUUAUUAGGGAAGAACAAAUGUGUAAGUAACUGUGCACAUCUUGACGGUACCUAAUCAGAAAGCCACGGCUAACUACGUGCCAGCAGCCGCGGUAAUACGUAGGUGGCAAGCGUUAUCCGGAAUUAUUGGGCGUAAAGCGCGCGUAGGCGGUUUCUUAAGUCUGAUGUGAAAGCCCACGGCUCAACCGUGGAGGGUCAUUGGAAACUGGGAAACUUGAGUGCAGAAGAGGAAAGUGGAAUUCCAUGUGUAGCGGUGAAAUGCGCAGAGAUAUGGAGGAACACCAGUGGCGAAGGCGACUUUCUGGUCUGUAACUGACGCUGAUGUGCGAAAGCG